rnacentral:rRNA from 1 species
UACGUAGGUGGCAAGCGUUGUCCGGAAUUAUUGGGCGAAAAGCGCGCGCAGGUGGUUCCUUAAGUCUGAUGUGAAAGCCCCCGGCUCAACCGGGGAGGGUUAUUGGAAACUGGGGAACUUGAGUGUAGAAGAGGAAAGUGGAAUUCCACGUGUAGCGGUGAAAUGCGUAGAGAUGUGGAGGAACACCAGUGGCGAAGGCGACUUUCUGGUCUAUAACUGACACUGAGGCGCGAAAGCGUGGGGAGCAAACAGG